CCAUGCUGGGCGCUGGAUGUGCAGAAAUGAACAAACAGGCCGACUUCUGCUCUCGUGGAGCCUGGGAUCUAGUGUCUCUGACCGCAAACAAAAAUACUCAAACAAUAGGAGAACUAAAAACAACUACAAGAAAAUAAACCUCAAAAUACAUUUAAUCAAAAGUAAGAGAAAAAAGAAACCCAAGAAAAUCCCAGAUUUCUUUUAAGUGCUGCCAAAAGCAGAGCUGAACAGGAAGCCCAUGUUGUUUCUUCAGGUAAGACCAGAGGUUUCAAGGGGCAGUAAGGGCUUGAAGUUCUCAGAGCUGUCCAGUGAAUAUUCCUUUUGAACAAGAGGUCUCCACUCUGAAAGGGACAAGAUAGAGCAGAGCAAGUUGUUUUGCUGAAGGAGGCAGAGGCUGGGUGCGGUGGCUCACGCCUGUAAUCCCAGCACUUUGGGAUCACCUGAGGUCAGGAGUUCAAGGCUAGCCUGGUUAACGUGGUGAAACCCAGU
rnacentral:lncRNA from 10 species